AGCGCCAGGUCAAAUCUCUGCCAACUUCAUAGCAGUUGCAUAUAUCUGCAAUAAAUGUACUAAUUAGAAUUUUUGAAUUAAACAUUUUUCAGAUGGUCAUUGGGAGUGAGAGUUUUAGUAGAUAAUGCAGAAAGACAAGAGUAGCAGUUCCAAUGAUUGACACAAGGUGACAGCACUGGACAUUUCACUUUCGACCGAAUGAAGGUCAUCAUCGCACGUUUCUUCAUAUUAAAAAUUUCUUCAUUGGUGGCCGCAUUGUCCAUUAGAAUUCUGCGCUGCGAAUUCCAAGAUCCCUCUGCGAAAAUAUCUCGUCAUAUGAACUUGAUAAUAGAACAAUUAUUGUUUAAUUAUUCUGAGUAAUAACUUCAAAAGGCAUCUUCCGGAUACAAUGGCUUGAAGCGAUCAUUGUCAUUAGCUGAAUUCAAUCGUCCUCAUUCAAGUAAAACCAUUAUUUCUCCAUUCAUGCGGUCUUUGUUCAUCAGUGAAAUUCCAGAUCCCGCGGCAACAAGAGAAGCGAAUCAUCAUAACUUAGCCUUUGAAGAA